UACGUAGGGUGCGAGCGUUAAUCGGAAUUACUGGGCGUAAAGCGUGCGCAGGCGGUUCGUUGUGUCGGUGGUGAAAUCCCCGGGCUUAACCUGGGAAUGGCAUUUGGGACUGCAAGGCUAGAGUACGGCAGAGGAGACUAGAAUUCCUGGUGUAGCAGUGAAAUGCGUAGAUAUCAGGAGGAAUACCGAUGGCGAAGGCAGGUCUCUGGGUCGAUACUGACGCUCAUGCACGAAAGCGUGGGGAGCAAACAGG
rnacentral:rRNA from 1 species